AUCUUCAGAAAAGUUUUGUAAGGUCAGUUGAAUUGUUCUUCUUUUGCAAACGAGGAAAUGAUGGUUUUCGAAGGUGGUGGUGUGUAUCUGUCUGUUUCCAAAGCCUCGAAUCUUUCUCUUGUGCCACCUUCCGUUCUGGCCCAGAAGGUUGCUUUGUCUCUUGAGGGAUUCCUACAUCCUUCCAUGACCAUAAACAGGUGGAAUUUCUGGAUAAGUUGGUGAAUUGGCAGCUGAGCCUGUGGGUCCUGUGUAUGCAGUCGUUUCUUAGCUAUGACCUAAAAAUCAAUUGUGGGCAUUUUAUGGGCUCUUUCGCAUAAAGUGUGUGUUCUUGAUUUUAUUUUAUAGCCAGACCGACUCUGAGUCUAGAAGGCAAGAGUGUUAGAAGAUUUAUGAGAAGAAAGGGGGCACCACAGCAAUGUCAAGGUCUCUUAGGAGGAGGAGGAGGAGGCAGGUGCUCACUUAGAGCUGAGAUGAGGUGGCAGUUACUAUUGAAGGUUAAGGCGGGUCCUUACUCUGCGUUUAAGAGAACUGUGUCUUCCACGUAGAGGGUCCUCUUGGGGACUUCAUUAGACACCUGGGAUCCCACUCCCCCCCCCCAUUUACUUCCAACUUGCUAGUUUUUGUGAAGGAAGUUUUUUGGAGAAAGGCUUGGCCUUUCUCAGGGUGCCUCCGGCCCAGGGGAGGCCUUCUUGUGACUUAGAAACAGGCUCUCAGGUGGCGUUCCAUCCCCAUGGGACCCCUCGCGGGGUGCGUCUCUGCAGCAGCCUUUCGAUAGAGUUAUUUGCAGUUUUUAUCCCCUUCUUCAUAAGUGGGCCAGGAUAGCAGGCAGUACAACACGUGGGUCUGUGCGCAAGAAAACAAAUGGAUUUUAGGUGAUUGACGACUGGGGCCAACUCAGGCCUGGUCCCCAGCCCUUUUCAGGCGUCUGUACGCUUUUGACUUCUCUGUAGCAUUUUGCUCCAAGUGCAUAAACCUUUGAUGGGACUCUGGGUCUUCAGCAUAUCCCAGAUUUGUGUUUCCUUUGUUAGUAGCCCAAGUAAAGGAGCGGGUAAUGGCAGAGUUGGAGCAGAAUGCAUGCCCGGGUUGGUCCAACCCACACACCGUUUCUUCCCAAAUAUUAGCUCGUCAGAACGCCUGACUCUCGGCAGGAGACACGCAUUGUAACCCAAGAGGAUGUGAUUUGAGUGGAGUUUUCGUGCCCCGUGUGCUUAUGUAUUCUUGCUCCGGAUGCAAACAUUAUCUAUAAUUACAUUUUCAAGUGACUGAAAAUUGCAGGCUUUGUUGAACAAAAAUACAGCCAAAGAAGGGAAUAUAUAUCCACUCCACCCUCAUUAUAAGGCUUUCAGAAAUCAGACUAUAAGGCCCAGGCCUGGGGCUCUCAGCUACAUGAUAUGCGCGCCGUUCUCUGAUGUUUGAACACUUUGUCAAAAUGCCGGGUUCCCGAUGAUGAUCAUAAAAUUGGAGGAAAAUGUGAUGACUCUCUUAGCGCUUUGCUGGCUCCACUGUCAACUCUGUGACAGAGGCACCGCCUCUCACCGACCCUUUAUUUCCAGGAGGUGAAGCUAGAAACCACGCAAGUUGAGUUAGAUCCAAGCAUGGUGGGCCACGUUGGGACAGCUGCUUGAGAUAAAGACACUGUUGCCUUCCUGGGGCAAAUACAGUUAAAUCCUGUGGCAUUCUGUUGUCUUCAAGCCGUCCCGCCUCCCACCUUGGGCGUAAUUGAAAAAACAAUUGCUCUCCUGGGGCCCACUGCAAGGUACUGGCUAUGGGACAAGAAAAACAUCCUGGCCACUCUCACUCUUCUAGACUUAAGCCCCUAUGUCUAACUUAAGUGAGAGCCUAAACCACUUGGAGUUUUUUUGUUUUUAAGAAAAAAAAGAAAAGAAUCUGACGUGUCACAUAUACCUGACUGUUUUGCUCAUCAUUAAUUAGCAUCCUGAAAUCCAGGGAACCAAGGAAAGAGGAACUGUUCCUUGGUUUUGGAUGGAAAGCGCACAGAGGGAAGAGUGGUGACAUAGUGGUUGUUAGUUUGUUUCUAAGGUAUUAAACUUGUCAUUUGCCUGACGGUUCAGUGUCGCCAGUCACUCUCUAGGCCCUUUGCAGAGCUAAAGAAAGCAGCAUUGUGAUGCAUUCAUUAAUCAACAAUAGGAGCUGAGUAAAUACUUAAGUCAGGCUGCUCAGACCUUUCCUGGUUCUAUCAAGUUCCUCCCUGAAAGGUAAGCCCCUCAGGUUAUCAAAGAAGUGUUUCUCAGGUCAUGAUGAGCACAGUUCAAAUCCCUUUAGUUCUGGUGUGUACCUAGUGAAUCAGAUGUUCCCGUGUGUGUGUGUGUCACCUUUUCUAACAUAAAUCAUAAACUCAGAUGUACGGACAGUUGGGUUUUGGACGGACCGCUAUAGACUGAUAGUAAAGUUAGCAACUGUGUUCAGUAGUUUUAACAUCGAAAGAGCUGAAAUGAGAGCAUGUGAGGGUCUAAGUAAAAUGCCUUCUGUGUAAUGCAACACAGCCACAAGGAUUGUGUGAGCAUGUUUUUUUGUUUUUUUUUUUAACAUUAAGGGAUUGUAGUAGCUAUUAAGCUUUGGUUGCAGUGGAAAUUUGGAGACGUAGCCAGUCUCCGUAAUAUAAUUGCCUGAUUGUAAGGAGUACGUGAAGGCAACUCAAUUUGUGUAUUUCAUGAAUUCCCUCUGCAUUACAGACACUGCCCCUUGUUCAGGCUGCUUUUUUUCUUUUUUAACAGGUGGUGUGUUUAUGUCUGUAGGUACCUGGGCUUCCAAUAGCGUGGACUCCUAAUCAAUCAGCAGAACUUACUUUAAGCAGUGGAAUUAGCCUAGACCCAAAGUAAAUUAGCUUGCCAAGGCAUCUACUUCUCGGGGUUUCUUGGUUGCCUCUCCAAUAGCAGAUUGACUCCACGGUAGGGCAGUAAGUACAGCGUGAGUCUGGAAGCGCAUGACAGUUGCGUAGUUUGUGCUGCAGAUUGAACAGUUAAAAUGAAGGCGGACAGCUGAGGAGCUGAGGAUUUAUGAGUUGCAACUGACCUAUUAUUUGGCCAAAUCGAUCAGCUCUUCUGUGGAAACCACCUAAACAUUUUCUGUACUGAAAUCUGUGUUCCAUUCAUUCUCUCUUUGUUUCUUUUUAACUCCGAAACUCCUGCUGGUGAACAAGAGUUGCAGUUGACCUUCUGCGUCAAGCUAGCACAAAGGUGUGAAGUCUAUAACGUGCUGGAUAGUUCCUGCAUGUUCUAGGUCUGCCGUAAUUUGAGAGUGCUAACCACAGUUCUUGAGCUAAACAUGUGGUUAUUCUGCGCUUUUGUCUAUCCCUUGGGUUCUUUUUGGGGAAACCUGUUUUACAGUGAAGAAGCAUCUGCACUGUUGGUUGGAGGAAGUGUCGUCUCUUAGAGAUGUGAUCGUGGCCAUUCAGAUUGUAAGAUCCAGGUGGCUUGAGAGAUGAGGAGAAACAGCAUUGACCAAAACCUGUUGCGUGGAUGUUCUCUUCUACCUAAAAAGGCUGAGGGGGUGAGAGUGUCCUUCCUGCUCCCUUACGCCCAGUUGGAUCUGGUGUGACCCACAGAGUUAAUUGUGCAAGCAGAGAAAUGUGGAUUCUUAUCCCAUCUAUCCUUUUGCUUCUUCACCUUCCUGUAGACCAACUCUUUACCUAAGAUCUAGAACCUUGAACGAGUAGGCGUGGAGAGGGAAAGUAAGCCAGUGACAUCACGGCCACUUAAGUGGCAUUCCAAAUGGGACCUCCAGUUGGAGCUCGGAAUGCAGUGACGGUCCUGGUUUGCUGGGAUCCUCCCAGUUGGUACCUUGUCAUCCCAAUGCCAUCAGUCUUAGCAUCCACCUUCCACUCUGUAAAAAGUGUCCCCGUUUGGAUGUUACUUGUCCUCCCUCCUUCUCAUGUCUGAUCCUGCAGCACUAGCUUUCCUAAGUAUACACGUGUUGGCGAACUUGCAAAAGUCUACACAUAGGACUAGCCCCAACCUUUCUACAGAAGGGUCAUUAUCCAUGCUUUGAAAUGUUCAGAAAAAGCAAUUUCUAGCAUCCCUGUCUCUGACCGAUUCCUUGCCUUAAAUCCCGAGAAAUAGAAAAGUUACUCAGAAUUGAAGGAAAGCUUCCUCACCGUUCCUAAUGCGUUUCGGGCCCCCUCUGAGCGCCUGGGGAUGGGCUCGCUCAUUAGCUUCUGUUUCUUUCUGAUCCGUGUCUGUCGUCCUGCAAACGCCUGUCUACAGCUUUGUCGGGUCACCUGUCCUCCAGCACGUGGGUUCAGGGUUGGAGGAGCCGGAGACCAGGUUUACAGGGGCUGCCUUUCUGUUCGGUUCCGUUAAAUUCAUGAAAUAACUUUUCUCCAUUCUGGGAAAGCUCAAAUAGUUCUGUUAAGGUUCAGCUGAAGCGUGACGAGAGCCAGAAAAUGAUCCUACGGUGCUGCCUUUGUCCUCACACUGCCUGCUACGAAACGGCGGCGACAGAAGAGCCCAGCCAAGGUGUCAUGACCCCAGGGGGCCCACGUAUAUUUUUGAAUUUUAAUCCCCAGGAUGCCUUUUGCCCUCUUCAGUGCUAAUUGAUCUUUCUCCUUCGGCACUGGAACUUCAGAGGAUUUGUACAAUCCGUGUGUUUAAAAUCGAUUUCCUGAUUUUUUACAUUUAUACCCAGCUGUUUGUUAUUCAGGGCAGCCAUCAGCAUCCGAGUCUCAAUGGACCAUGUAAUGUGCAGCUGUAGCCAGAUGUAACGCUUCUGCUCCCUAAUGUUUCCAUGAGAAGCUUAGAGAGGCAGGCUAAAGACUGCUGAUAACCAUGUUGCCGGCAUUAAUUUACCCUCUGGAGCUGCACAGAGUCUGCUGGGCAAUUUUAUUUCACGACCAGCAAGGAGAGCGGUGUUUGAGAUCUCCAGCACUGGCAGCAAUGUUGACACUGUGUGUAUUGAGUGUAUCUGCAUUGAUACGAAAGGUACUUGUAUCGCUAAUUCAGACAGCAGGAAGCUGUCUGAUCUGCAUGCAUAAAUACUCUGGCAGCAAGGUUGUACUCAAGAAAGAUCAGCCAGGCUUCAUAUCAGACCUUGGCCUAAGAUUAAAAGAGGUUCAUACGCUCGUCUUGGAGAGAACAUUUCUUAGGAAAAAUAAUUUUAGGAUCAUUUCAGUCUGUAGUCAGACCUUGUUUCUCAUUUGCAUUUAUUAUUCAAAUCUGUGUUGCCUUUUGUAUUUGUGUGAUGUAUCUUUGUUUAGAGGCUGCAGCUCCUACUAAAUUUAAUUACUUCCCUUGGAGGCUUUAAAUUGAGGGCAGCGUCUAUUAAUUGUUAAUUACAUUCCCCUGCCAUUUACACAGCAAAGGUGCAGUUACUAAUUGAGGGUCUGUUCUGCACAAUGACAGGAGACUUCUUCAGUCUCAAUAUUUACCUUUCUAUGGGGACCAAUUUUUAUUUCCCUAAUCUUAUCUUUUAUUAAACAUAAAAGUAGACAUUCCAGUGAUAGAUAGGCCAUUCCUAUGAUGCAGUGUUGUUCUACCUCCCGGAGAAAUAAAUGAGAAUCAUCUCUGGCUCUGUGUCGCCAUCUGGUGGUGUCUUGAUCUCUCUUAGGCUCCUUAGAUGGGUUUCUGAUGAGAAGGAGGUAGGUAUCCCCGGGUCUGUCCCUUUGGUAGUUUUACCCCGAGAGGGGGGGGGAUUUAAAGUUAGCUGAUUCCCCACCGGGGCUGAGGGAGGCAUCCGUUCGGCCGGGGGAUGGUGGUGUCAUUAACGUGUGCAUUGCGUGUCUUUUAGAUGCUUGGCAUCUCGCAUUACUCAGUCUUGGAUUCUCCGCUUGUCUUUCUCAGCCUUCCUUUUCUAGGAAGCUUAGCUCCUCAACCCCCCUGUUGAGGCGAUGAGGGGGAAAUGCUGGGUCUGGGCACUUGCUCUGGUUUUCUAUUGGGAUGUCCUUGGUUGAACGUGUGUUUCUACCUCAGUAGCCUGAGCUUCGAAUCGGUCGUGGGAGUUGGAGGAUGGAGGGUUUAUGCUCGGUGAUGACGCUGCCUGUGAACCCUUGCGUUGGCCACAGCUCCACGGCCGCACUUUAUGAAGGGCUUGGUCAUUGAUUGAGAACAAAGUGAGGGGUGUCUCUUUACCUGUUAGACUCGCUGUUUCACUAGAUGAGGUUGCCUCCCAGCCUCGCCUGGGCUAUUUCAUUUCUUUAUGACAUUUCCACUUCCGCUUGGAAGUGGACCUGCCCUGAUGCUGGGCUGUCGCAUCGUGAGGUGCGUCUGUCCCUGAGCCCUGCAACUUUUACUUUAAAAAGCCAUGAAGGUAGAGAGCGAGAAGGAAUCCCGGUUGAAUGAAUGAGCAGGGGCCAAGGUGGAAGCCAUUAAAUCCUUUGUUAUCCAGAAGCUGAGGUUUACAGCAAAGCCAAAGCAAUGUUAGUUUGUGGGCUUGGGUGGAUUCUGUAAAAAUGCUGGGCAGUGCCCAGACCUCCAGGUCAGUGGCCAUGCACCAUCUCUGAAACUAAGAGGAGCCCAAGGCAGACAUAGGCAAUGCUGUGUGUCCCUCGGCCGCUGGAGGUGGCUGCCUCUGGGAGGACCAAGCCACCCCAGCAGGGUGAGCCCAGGUCAGGUUGGGGGAUGGGCGGGGAGCCACCCUUCAGCCUCCUUGGAGAAAUACUCUUCCCCCCCCUGCCCCCCGCAUCCCGGCUUCUCUUUGUGGAGUCCUUCUGCAUAGCCUCUGGCCUAUAUAUUCUU
rnacentral:lncRNA from 1 species